CACACUGCACUGAGAACGGCCAGAUCUACGAGCAGCAGUGGGAUCUGGCAAUGCCGARAGGCUGACCAGCGACGCGCGUGGGGGAAGAAGCUUCGGGUCGUAACCCUGUCAGGAGAGAGCUACGGGUAUAGCCGUGRGUUGACGGUACUCCCAGAGGAAGCACGGCUACUCCGUGCCAGCAGCCGCGGUAAUACGGAGGUGGCGAGCGUUGCCCGGAAUCACUGGGCGUAAAGGGGGCGUAGGCGGCCGGACAAGUCGGACGUGAAAGCCCGGGGCUCAACCCCGGARUUGCGUUCGAWACUGUUUGGCUUGAGGUCCGGAGAGGCCGGCGGAAUUCCCGGUGUAGGGGUGAAAUCCGUAGAUAUCGGGAGGAACACCGGUGGCGAAGGCGGCCGGCUGGACGGCACCUGACGCUGAGGCCCGAAAGCGUGGGGAGCAAACCGGAUUAGAUACCCGGGUAGUCCACGCCGUAAACGAUGGGUGCUAGGUGUGGGGGGUUAAACCUUCCGUGCCGAAGCUAACGCAAUAAGCACCCCGCCUGGGGAGUACGGCCGCAAGGCUGAAACUCAAAGGAAUUGACGGGGGCCCGCACAAGCGGUGGAGCACGUGGUUUAAUUCGAUGCAAAGCGAAGAACCUUACCUGGGUUUGACAUGCUAGGGGACCCCCCAGAGAUGGGGGGGUGCCCGGGCUUWGCCUGGGAGCCCUAGCACAGGUGCUGCAUGGCUGUCGUCAGCUCGUGUCGUGAGAUGUUGGGUUAAGUCCCGCAACGAGCGCAACCCUCGCCCUUAGUUGCCAGCGGGUGRAGCCGGGCACUCUAGGGGGACUGCCGGGGACAACCCGGAGGAAGGAGGGGAUGACGUCAAGUCAUCAUGGCCCUUAUGCCCAGGGCUACACACGUGCUACAAUGGGCGGUACAGAGGGAAGCGAACCCGCRAGGGGGAGCARAUCCCAGAAAGCCGUCCUCAGUUCGGAUCGGGGUCUGCAACUCGACCCCGUGAAGCCGGAAUCGCUAGUAACGGCGGAUCAGCAUGCCGCCGUGAAUACGUUCCCGGGCCUUGUACACACCGCCCGUCACACCACGGAAG
rnacentral:rRNA from 1 species